GGACAAAAAGACCCUAUGAAGCUUUACUGUGUCUUGGAAUUGAAUUCGAGCUUUUCUUGCGCAGGAUAGGUGGGAGACUAUGAAGAAGAGCGUUCGCGUUCUUUGGAGUCAUUGUUGAGAUACCACCCUGGUCUAGCUAGAAUUCUAAGAAGAUAUCAUUUUCUGGUUCUUCAACAGUUUCAGGUGGACAGUUUCUCUGGGGCAGAGACCUCCUAAAAGGUAACGG
rnacentral:rRNA from 1 species